UCCCUGAGACCCUAACUUGUGAUGUUUAACUUCUUAAUCCACGGGUUAGGCUCUUGGGAUCU
rnacentral:pre_miRNA from 1 species